GUUGCCGUGGCCAAGUGGUUAAGGCGAUAGACUUAAAAUCUUUUGGGAUUUUCCCGCGCAGGUUCUAAUCCUGCCCGACAACG